CCCGGAAAGAUAGAGCUGUGGUGUCAGCCAAUUGGGUGCGCCUGUUGUUGUAUUUUCGCAGCCGAUAGGGCUACGGCGACCCACCCCGCCUUCUUAUUCGGUAGGACUUCAGUCUGUCAACGUCAAUCGACAGCUCUUACCGCCUGGAGCUUGGGGGCGGGGCCGGAGGCUGAGAGCACGGGGGAGACUUCUCUGCUUUGCCCCGGCUGCCUCACCCCCGAACGAACGCUGAGAUUUGAAGGAGAAGUAAGGAAUGAGUUGUACAGAGGGCAAAGGAGGCCCUGAGAUGAGGGAGAGAAAUGAACAUCUGGUGACAUCUUGGGCAGUGACCUCAAGUGGCUGACCCUAAAUCUGCGUGGCUCCAAGAGGCAGAAGACCCUGCCGUGAACUGGUACUCAGGUGAAGAUAAUAAAGUAUCUACCUCCACGUAAGGAUUAAAUGCACUUGGAUCAUGCAACACACUUGGAACAGUGCCUGGCCUGUGGAAGAAUGAAUGAAAAUGAGCUCAGGUGGAGGUCUGGAG